rnacentral:rRNA from 1 species
CCCUUAGAUGUUCGGGGCCGCACGCGCGCUACACUGAAGGAAUCAGCACGUCUUUCUCCUUGUCCGAAAGGACUGGGUAACCCGCUGAACCUCCUUCGUGCUAGGGAUUGGGGCUUGUAAUUCUUCCCCAUGAACGAGGAAUUCCUAGUAAGCGCGAGUCAUAAGCUCGCGUUGAUUACGUCCCUGCCCUUUGUACACACCGCCCGUCGCUACUACCGAUUGGAUGGUUUAGUGAGAUCCUCGGAUUGGUCCCGGCGCGGCCUCUGGUCGUGCCGGAGUGCCGAAAAGAAUGUCGAACUUGAUCAUCUAGAGGAAGUAAAAGUCGUAACA